rnacentral:rRNA from 1 species
UACAGAGGUCUCAAGCGUUGUUCGGAUUCAUUGGGCGUAAAGGGUGCGUAGGUGGCGCGGUAAGUCGGGGUGUGAAAUUUCGGAGCUUAACUCCGAAACUGCAUUCGAUACUGCCGUGCUUGAGGACUGGAGAGGAGACUGGAAUUUACGGUGUAGCAGUGAAAAUGCGUAGAGAUCGUAAGGAAGACCAGUGGCGAAGGCGGGUCUC